rnacentral:rRNA from 1 species
GAUUUCUGGCAUGACACAUCUGGCCCGCCACGGUAACGUGUGUGAGUGCCGGGUUGUAUCUGCCAUCCUUCUAGAAAACGUAUCUGCCCUUCACUGGGUUGGGUACGCGAUCUAGAUCUUUUACUUUGAAAAAAUUAGAGUGUUUAAAGCAGGCAUUUGCUAUGAAUACAUUAGCAUGGAAUAAUAAUUUAGGACUUCGGUUCUAUUUUGUUGGUUUCUAGGACUGAAGUAAUGAUUGAUAGGGAUAGUUGGGGGUGCUCGUAUUCAGCGGCCAGAGGUGAAAUUCUUGGAUUCGCUGAAGACGAACUUAUGCGAAAGCAUU